rnacentral:rRNA from 1 species
UACGUAGGGAGCAAGCGUUGUCCGGAAUCAUUGGGCGUAAAGCGCGCGUAGGUGGCCAUGUAAGUCCGCUGUGAAAGUCAAAGGCUCAACCUUUGAAAGCCGGUGGAUACUGCAUGGCUAGAGUACGGAAGAGGCGAGUGGAAUUCCUGGUGUAGCGGUGGAAUGCGCAGAUAUCAGGAGGAACACCGGUGGCGAAGGCGGGUCUCUGGGCCGUAACUGACGCUGAGGAGCGAAAGCAUGGGGAGCGAACAGG